GACGAACGCUGGCGGCGUGCUUAACACAUGCAAGUCGAGCGAGGCCCACCUUUCGGGGUGGUGUCCUAGCGGCGAACGGGUGAGUAACACGUGGGCAACCUGCCCUCAGCUCUGGGAUAACUCCAAGAAAUUGGGGCUAAUACCGGAUAUGACUGCUGACCGCAUGGUCUGGUGGUGGAAAGAUUUUAUCGGGCUGGGGGAUGGGCCCGNGGCCUAUCAGCUUGUUGGUGGGGUAGGGCCUACCAAGGCGACGACGGGUAGCCGGCCUGAGAGGGCGGACGGCCACACUGGAACUGAGACACGGUCCAGACUCCUACGGGAGGCAGCAGUGGGGAAUUGUUCACAAUGGGCGCAAGCCUGAUGACGCAACGCCGCGUGGGGAUGAAGGUCUUCGGAUCGUAAACCCCUGUCGAAUGGGACGAAAGACCCGGGAGCUAAUCAUCCUGGAGUGACGGUACCGUUAAGGAAGCACGGCUAACUCUGUGCCAGCAGCCGCCGU
rnacentral:rRNA from 1 species